CUCUCUUUAGCUCUUCAGCGGUGAAAGAUGGUAGCCUGGACCCAACAUUCUUCCUCAUCAAUGGGGGGUAAUCUCCAUGCACCAAUGGAUGCAUAUACCUGUGUCAUGAUCACAAGAUCUUUAGCUGUAGUUACAUACACAUUUCAGCUGUCCUUGUUAAACUUGAAAUGUAGAAACAUACCAUCCAAUGUGGAAGUCAUUCAUCCUUGCAGCUGCUGCUAUAUCCUCAGGUGUUUGUGUCGCAGGCUCGUUCCACCAGCAGAGCAAUGUGAGUCCAAUUUUCCCUCCUUGCUUGGCCUGAUUAACAAGAAAUAAGAAGGAAUAUUGCACAUGGACGCUGCUGAGGCAUGUGCAAGCAGAAGAUGGUGAGCUACUAUGUAGGGCUCAGUGGUAGAGUUGCCAUUGUCACAACUGAUGCCGAAGGGGGAGGAGCAUCGCCGUGGUGGAAAGAAUCCUACAUCGUAUCCGCCAAUGGGCUCAAUGUUCGGCUCAUUCACGGUGCUCCAGUAUUUCACCCUGUCGCCAAAGUUCUUGAAGCACACAUCUGCAUAUGCUGUGUAGUCAUCUCUGCAACCAUGUGACAAAAAAAAGGUAGGGCAAGAAGAUAAGUACAUGAAUUUACGACUAAGCAUCCCACGGUAUUCAUCUUGAAGAGCUUGAGGGAAGUCGAAAUGAUAUAUCGUCACAUGAGGCUGGAUUCCUACAUGAAACACAGGAAGAUGCACAGUUCAUCUCUGCGCAACUGGACAUCUGGAGACCCAUGAAUUUCAUUCCUAAAUGGAGGAUUCAGUAUGCCAAGGAUCAAAUACCAUGACUAAGGAGUUCAUUGAUAAGGUUGUUGUAGUACUCCAGUCCCUUUGGAUUGACAGCUCCUCGGCCAUCUUCAUGGAUUGCAAACAGAAGAAUAAGCCUAGGCCAGGCAAUGGAAAAUCUGUAUGCAUCGACGCCCAUCUCGCUCAAAAGCUUUACAUCUUCCUGGUGGUUUAUCACAUCACAUCAGCAGUGGCUCCAUCGGCAGAGUAGCCUGUGGAUGUUAAAACUCCAUGUUAUAAUUGACAAUGCGAUAAUGUGUGGCAGAUUCAGGCUCACAGUGCGUGGGUGAAAUUAACCUGAGUGUGUGAACGUGUCCCAGAUGCUGGGUUUUCUUCCGUCCUCUGCAACUGCGCCUUCAAUCUGGAAAAUCAGCCGAAUGUUCAGGCCGUGUUCCCGCCAAACUUCACCUCAAAAUAGUGUGAGUCGUCGAUUCUGCAGAUCCAACGGACUAAGAAGGAGCGAAUCCAAAGAAAGGUGGCCGUCGAUAUGGGUACAUCUGACGGCUCAGACUGUUUUUGUUUCUGUCAGG